AAGGCGGAUCGCAUCAUCGUCGCAUUCGGGACUGCGGUUUCGGAUGGCGGAGGAAAGUCCGGGCUCGAUAGGGAGCGGCGCCGGGUAACGCCCGGGCGGAUGCCUGUAGCCAUCGCCGGGUCGCGCGAGCGAUCCAGCGAUGAAACGCGGCAUCCGACAGACAGCGCAACAGAAAGCAAACUACCCUCUCCGAGGGAAAAGGUGAAAGGGUGGGGUAAGAGCCCACCGCGUCGCCGGUGACGGCGACGGCACGGCAAGCCUCGCCGCGAGCAAGACCAAGCAGCAAAGGGUUCCCGCCCUCGCCGGGGUGACUCGGCGGAAUUUGCGGGUUGGUCGCUAGAGCGCAGGGGAGACCUUGCGCCUAGAUGGAUGAUGAUGGCCCCGUCGGUUGAGCUUGUUCCCUUUUUGUCGCGUGCGGCGAAAUGGGCAGCGGGUGAAACCGGCGUGGCACAGGACCCGGCUUAUAGAUCCGCCUUCUUU
rnacentral:RNase_P_RNA from 1 species